UGGGGAAUAUUGGACAAUGGGCGCAAGCCUGAUCCAGCCAUGCCGCGUGUGUGAAGAAGGUCUUCGGAUUGUAAAGCACUUUAAGUUGGGAGGAAGGGCAGUAAAUUAAUACUUUGCUGUUUUGACGUUACCGACAGAAUAAGCACCGGCUAACUCUGUGCCAGCAGCCGCGGUAAUACAGAGGGUGCAAGCGUUAAUCGGAAUUACUGGGCGUAAAGCGCGCGUAGGUGGUUUGUUAAGUUGGAUGUGAAAUCCCCGGGCUCAACCUGGGAACUGCAUCCAAAACUGGCAAGCUAGAGUAUGGUAGAGGGUGGUGGAAUUUCCUGUGUAGCGGUGAAAUGCGUAGAUAUAGGAAGGAACACCAGUGGCGAAGGCGACCACCUGGACUGAUACUGACACUGAGGUGCGAAAGCGUGGGGAGCAAAACAGGAUUAGAUACCCUUGUAGUCCCUGAGCGGGCUGGCAAGGCGCAU
rnacentral:rRNA from 1 species